rnacentral:rRNA from 1 species
ACCACCGAUUGAAUGGAUCAGUGAGGCCUUCGGACUGGCUCAGGGAGGUCGGCAACGACCACCCAGAGCCGGAAAGUUGGUCAAACUCGGUCAUUUAGAGGAAGUAAAAGUCGUAACAAGGUCUCCGUAGGUGAACCUGCGGAGGGAUCAUUA